CCUACGGGUCGCACCAGUGGGGAAUAUUGCACAAUGGGCGCAAGCCUGAUGCAGCCAUGCCGCGUGUAUGAAGAAGGCCUUCGGGUUGUGAAGUACUUUCAGCGGGGAGGAAGGCGAUAAGGUUAAUAACCUUGUCGAUUGACGUUACCCGCAGAAGAAGCACCGUCUAACUCCGUGCCAGCAGCCGCGGUAAUACGGAGGGUGCAAGCGUUAAUCGGAAUUACUGGGCGUAAAGCGCACGCAGGUGGUCUGUCAAGUCGGAUGUGAAAUCCCCGGGCUCAACCUGGGAACUGCAUUCGAAACUGGCAGGCUAGAGUCUUGUAGAGGGGGGUAGAAUUCCAGGUGUAGCGGUGAAAUGCGUAGAGAUCUGGUGGAAUACCGGUGGCGGAGGCGGCCCCCUGGACAAAGACUGACGCUCAGGUGCGAAAGCGUGGGGAGCAAACAGGAUUAGAUACCCCAGUAGUC
rnacentral:rRNA from 1 species